rnacentral:rRNA from 1 species
AUUGAACGCUGGCGGCAGGCCUAACACAUGCAAGUCGAGCGUAGCGGCGGACGGGUGAGUAAUGCCUAGGAAUCUGCCUGGUAGUGGGGGAUAACGUCCGGAAACGGGCGCUAAUCCCGCAUACUAUCCGAUGCGCCUAGGUCGGAUUAGCUAGUUGGUGGGGUAAAGGCCUACCAAGGCGACGAUCCGUAACUGGUCUGAGAGGAUGAUCAGUCACACUGAAUGUGGGAGACGGUCCAGAGUGCGACGUGAGGCAGCAGUUGGGAAUAUUGGGCAAUGGGCGAAAGCCUGAUACAGCGAAACCGCGGGUGUGAAGAAGGUCAUCGGAUUGUAAAGCACUAUAAGUUGGGAGACGUUACAAACAGAAUAGGCAGCGGCUAACUUCGUGCCAGCAGCCGCGGUAAUAC